rnacentral:rRNA from 1 species
AAACUUUCAACAACGGAUCUCUUGGUUCUGGCAUCGAUGAAGAACGCAGCGAAAUGCGAUAAGUAGUGUGAAUUGCAGAAUUCAGUGAAUCAUCGAAUCUUUGAACGCACAUUGCGCCCCUUGGUAUCCCGAGGGGCAUGCCUGUUC